UCCACGCCGUCAACGAUGAGGACCAAGCAUUGGGGGUGAAACUUCACUCCUGAAGUUAACGCAGUGAGUCGUCCGCUUGGGGAGUAUGCACGUAAGUGUGAAACUUCAAAGGAAUGGUCGGGGGGCCCGCACAUCGUGUGGAGUAUGUGGUGUAUUUCUGAAGCAAACGCGUAGAACUUUCCCAGUCCCUGCACAUGGUAUGGGAUGACGCAGAGAUGCGUUGGAGGUCAACAUCCACACAGGUGGUGCAUGGUUGUCGUCAGCUCGUGUCGUGAGAUGUUGGGUCAAGUCCCGCAACGAGCGCAACCCUUGUGGCAUGUUGCUAACAGGAAAGCUGAGGACUCAUGCCAGACUGCCGGUGACAAACCGGAGGAAGGCGGGGAUGACGUCAAAUCAUCAUGCCCCUUAUGGCCUGGGCUACACACGUACUACAAUGGCGGCUACAAAGAGCGGCGAGACAGUAAUGUCGAGCGAAUCUCAUAAAAGCCGUCCCAGUUCGGAUUGGAGCCUGCAACCCGGCUCCAUGAAGUUGGAAUCGCUAGUAAUCGCGGAUCAGCAUGCCGCGGUGAAUACGUUACCGGGCCUUGCACACACCGCCCGUCAA
rnacentral:rRNA from 1 species